rnacentral:rRNA from 1 species
GUAGGUGGCAAGCGUCGUCCGGAAUUAUUGGGCGUAAAGCGCGCGCAGGCGGUCCUUUAAGUCUGAUGUGAAAGCCCACGGCUCAACCGUGGAGGGUCAUUGGAAACUGGGGGACUUGAGUACAGAAGAGGAAAGCGGAAUUCCAAGUGUAGCGGUGAAAUGCGUAGAGAUUUGGAGGAACACCAGUGGCGAAGGCGGCUUUCUGGUCUGUAACUGACGCUGAGGCGCGAAAGCGUGGGGAGCAAACAGGGAUUAGAUACCCUGGUAGUCCACGCCGUAAACGAUGAGUGCUAAGUGUUAGGGGGUUUCCCGCCCCUUAGUGCUGCAGCUAACGCAUUAAGCACUCCGCCUGGGGAGUACGCCGCAAGGCUG